rnacentral:snoRNA from 1 species
CGUGGUGCUGGAACCAGCUCUGCACUGCACUGUGCAGUUGCAGACUAGAAUGCACCACAGAUGC